UUGAACGCUGGCGGCAUGCUUUACACAUGCAAGUCGAACGGUAACAGGCCUUCGGGUGCUGACGAGUGGCGAACGGGUGAGUAAUGCAUCGGAACGUACCCAGAGGUGGGGGAUAACGCAGCGAAAGCUGUGCUAAUACCGCAUGUGAUCUGAGGAUGAAAGCGGGGGACCGAGCAGCAAUGUUUGGCCUCGCGCCUUUGGAGCGGCCGAUGUCGGAUUAGCUUGUUGGUGGGGUAAAGGCCUACCAAGGCGACGAUCCGUAGCAGGUCUGAGAGGACGACCAGCCACACUGGGACUGAGACACGGCCCAGACUCCUACGGGAGGCAGCAGUGGGGAAUUUUGGACAAUGGGCGCAAGCCUGAUCCAGCAAUGCCGCGUGCGGGAAGAAGGUCUUCGGGUUGUAAACCGCUUUUGGCAGGAACGAAACGGUGUCCGCUAAUACCGGGCGCUAAUGACGGUACCUGCAGAAUAAGCACCGGCUAACUACGUG
rnacentral:rRNA from 1 species